UUUGGAUCAAUGAUGAUUAGUUUUAUUACUGCGUUAUCUUUCUGAAUUCCCAAUUAUGGGAUUGAAGAAGAUUUUUGUUACUGAGAUCCAAU